UUGCUGUGAUGAGCGCUAGAAUCUCAUGAAAGCUCUAGUUUAGUUGCUUAAUGAUAGAUUCGCCUGAGCGGUUACCUGAGCAA